rnacentral:lncRNA from 1 species
GUUGAUCCCCAGCAGACAGAACAAAGAGAUGACAUUUGUGCUCAGAAAAGCAAAGAGCCAUUAUCCUCCCAACAGUUUCCAAAAGAAUGAAACAUCGAUUUGAAGGGAUAAAAUUCCCCAACAGCGUUAUCCUCAACAACGUUAUCCCAAGAAGAUAAUACUUUUAUCCCCAGCAGUGUUAAGAAAAAAAACAACAAAAAAAAUUAAAAAAAAUAAAAAAUUGAAUUUGAAGGAGGGAAAGAAAGGAGACUCCCCCAGUGGUAUUAUCCCCAGCAAUCAGGCGUCCACCUGGAGAACAAGGAAGAGCAACGGAAGUAUUAGAAGUCAGGUGUCCACUUGGAGAACAAGGAUGAGUAAUGGAAGUAUUAACAAUCAGGGGUCCACCUGGAGAACAAGGAAGAGCAAUGAAAGAAACAGCAAUCAGGCAUCCACCUGGAGAACAAGGAUGAGUAGUUGAAGUAUUAGUAAUCAGGCAUCCACCUGGAGAACAAGGAAGAGCAAUGAAAUAUCAGAAGUCAGGCGUCCGCCUGGAGAACAAGGAAGAGAAAUUGAAGAAGCAGUCAGGCGUCCACCUGGAGAA